CCAGACUCCUACGGGAGGCAGCAGUGGGGGAUAUUGCACAAUGGGGGAAACCCUGAUGCAGCGACGCCGCGUGGGCGAAGAAGUAUUUCAGUAUGUAAAGCCCUAUCAGCAGGGAAGAAGAAAUGACGGUACCUGAGUAAGAAGCACCGGCUAACUCCGUGCCAGCAGCCGCGGUAAUACGGGGGGUGCAAGCGUUGUCCGGAAUCAUUGGGCGUAAAGCGUUCGUAGGCGGCAAGGUAAGUCUGAUGUUAAAGCCCGGGGCUCAACUCCGGUUCGGCAUUGGAUACUGGCAAACUAGAAUGUGGUAGAGGUAAAGGGAAUUCCUGGUGUAGCGGUGAAAUGCGUAGAUAUCAGGAGGAACAUCGGUGGCGAAAGCGCUUUACUGGACCAUUAUUGACGCUGAGGAACGAAAGCCAGGGGAGCAAAUGGGAUUAGAUACCCCCGUACA
rnacentral:rRNA from 1 species